CACACACAAAGAAUGAAAUAAAGAAAUGAAACUCGCUAAGCAGACGAAAACAGGCAACUUUCUGCUUAGAAAACAGCCUUCUCCGGUGGGAAAGGUUGGACUGCCAUAUCUAAGAGAAAGACUUGCUCCCGAAUCUGUUUUGGCCAGAAAUGGUGAGAAGAAAAAGCAUGAAGAAGCCGCGAAGUGUGGGGGAGAAAAAGGUGGAAGCGAAGAAACAGCUCCCGGAGCAAACUGUACAAAACCUCGCCAAGAGUGUCGGGAGGCAGGACCGUUAUUCCUGCGGAGCAGGAGAGAGAGAGACCCUGAAACACGCGCCACCUAUCUUUGUGGGGAGGGAUAAUUGAAGCGCCCUGAGCGUGAGCAUCAUGUGAAAACGUGAUCGCCAAGUUUCUCUCUGGGAAAGGAUCUGGGAUAGAUUAUACCUUGAAGUCUCCGCAAACGCUUUAGUGGAAGAAAUGAAAUUCCACCUCCCUCCCUUCCUCUCUCCCUCCCUCUCGCCUCCCUCCCUCCCUCCCUCCCUUCUCCACGCCCCCCCCCCCCCCCCGUCAAGCCUUUGGCAUCAUUAUCCUCAUCACUAAAUCCUACAGAGUACAGGGCGGAAAACGGUGCACACCAUUCACAGAACUGGAGAACUCUGAGGGGCGAAAGUUAAAGGGAAAGAUCCCGGUUCCUCAAUACAGAUCGCCUCUUCUUAUACAGAUAGCUCUAAUGGCCAGAUUUGAAAUGCACAUUAAGUUGUGUGGAUUUCUCAGCACCGCUUCUGGAACUAAAAUUUUUGCCCUUUCUGUUAUUAUUAUUGUUAUUUUUCUUUUUAGAUGCCAGAGCCAGAAAAAAAAUGCUUCAUGUGAACUGUAUUUUAGGGUGUGUGUGUUGGGGUGUGUGUGUGUGUGUGAUGAAUUUCUGGAUUGGAUCCCAAUACUGAAAAGCGAUUUGGCAUUUUUAAAAAGGGUCUCUAAGUAAAUUAACAUAGAGCACUGAGUUGACCGAUCUCUGAAUCUCUCUACAUCUCACGGAGACCUCACUACAAAGUGAGGGAGUAUGUGUAGGGAAGCAGGAGGAAAAGGAGAAAGGCCAUAGAGGAACUUAGCAGGGAAGGAAGAACACGAUAUUAAACGGCAUGGGGUCUAAGUUUUGGAGUUUAUAUUUUUUGAUAUUGCAAUUAAAGUAAAAUUAAAAAGAAAAGACUCCACCUUUGCUCUGAAGGGAUUGGUUAUGUAAAUAUGGAAGGGAUUUCCUGGAGAAUACAGCUUUCUACUGUAUGGUUAAUUAAAUAAUCACUCAAAAGCUUCCAACGUGACGCUUCUGUCGUAAUCCAAUCAGGUUACAUAGGUCCUAAACAAGAAAGAUAUUUUCCACAUCUGGAAGUCAGCAAUUUAGCAAGUACUGCACAUUAUUAACCAAUUCAGAGCCCACUUCCCAGGGGAAUUUUUUUUGAAGUUUAAGUGUUCUUAACCAAUGCUCUGCUGUUUUGUUAAUCAAAAAGCUGGUUUACACUGCACAUAAUUGGAACUAAUAUAGAAGUAAAUAAAGACAGCCAAAUUUGAGGAUGCUGAGCACAGGCAUUUAUCGGAAAAGGAAGAAAUCUCUUAGCCUCCAAUGGUUCAGGCUCAAUUUCUUAAACAACUGUGAGGCUUUUUUUUUUUUUUUUUUUUUUUUUAAGAGUGAAAGUGCUUGAGAACCUCAGAGCACAAAUAAACUUCCAGUCCCACAGCCUUUGGGCUUCCUUGCAAAGGUAAAGGUGGAGGUGUCAAGAAGUCUGAAGAACAGCCUUAUGCCAAUUUUUCGGCUUUAAUAUUGUUAAUAUGUUACAGCGCCCUGUUUUCAGUCUGAUGAAAUCUGAAAUAAAUAACACCCUGAUCCAA